AGGCGCAACACCUCUCCCACGCCUUCCCCCACGACCUCCACGCCUACAACAGCGUCGGUGCUCUGGAGGACGAGAUGACGGGCGGCUCCCUCUUCUUUCCCGAGAACCUCAAGCGCGGGCCGGAACUGGAGGGUGCUGGGAACACGGUGUUCGGCGACGUUCCGCGCGUCGAUCCCACUUGGCACGACAACACCACCCGCAGCCACGGUUUUGCGCAGAGGAAGCGGGCGCGCGUCGUCCCGGAGGCGCCUUCGUACUUGGAGAAUCAGCGCGGGCAGGGGCUUGUGCCCGUCGGUGAUGUGCUGACCAGGGCGGUGGGCUCCGGCACGGCGUCCACCAGUGGGAGAAUGAUCAAUGCCGCCGGCCCGCCGCAGGACCUGCUCUCGCAGCUGUACCGUCAGGGCAUGGAGAUCGAUGCAGUCCUACGACUCGAGGUACGUACCAUCUUCUUCAUGCACCGUUUCUCUUUCUAUCUUGGUGAUUGGAUGGACACGAGUUCUUGGGUUUGAUUGCGCGGUGUAUUGAUUCGUGGUGAUUCUGAUCGACGUUCUGCAGACCGACCGCAUGCGCGCCGGGCUGGAGGAGGCGCGGCAGCAGCACGUCAGGGCGCUGGUAUCGGCGGCGGAGCGUGCUGCGGCGAGGCGGCUGCGUGCCGCGGAGGCCGCGCUGGAGCUGGCGCGCUGCCGCAACGCCAAGCUGUCAGAGAGGCUCACCCAGAUUUGCGCCGAGGGCCAGGCGUGGAUACGCGUCGCCAAGAGCCACGAGGCAGUCGCUGCGGGCCUCCAAGCUACACUCGACCAGCUCCUGCAGUCCCCUUGCGCUGCCGUCGCCGCCACCGGAGCGGAUGGAGACGGCGACGCCGAGGACGCGCGGUCCUGCUGUUUCGAGACCCCCGCCGGCGACGACGCUGCGGCAUCCAAGGCGUCGGCGGCGGCGUGCAGGGCUUGCGGCGAGGGCGAGUCGUGCGUGUUGCUGCUGCCGUGCAGGCACCUGUGCCUCUGCAGCGCGUGCGACGCCGCCGUGGACACCUGCCCGCUGUGCGCGACCACCAAGAACGCGUCGCUCCAUGUCCUGCUCUCGUGAUUCAAGGAACCAGUGGCCUCCUCCGAAACGGUUUGCGAUAGGAAACUCAGCAGGCUUGAUCAACUUGCACAUGUUAUCAAGCUACAGUGGGUUCAGUUUGCCGAAGAAGUCGCGGUGCUUCAAGAAUUUGGCGGCAGGUCAUGUGGAAUCUCAGCUCUCUAAAGAGACCCGCGUCUAAAUGUACAAGUGGUUCCUGUAGUUUUGUAGAGCAUAUUACUUUCAGGAGCCGCCUGAAUUAGCCAGAAAAACAAACUGUUGUGGGUUUGUUAUUUCGGACAAGGAUGGCAGGAACUGAAUGCAAUUUCAAAUAGAGCGCCUAGUUUGAUUUUAGCGUUUUCGUCUUCCAAGUAGGGUUAGAAUGUAUUUUGUUUAGGAUUUCGAUAACAUGCGAACGUUUGCUGGCACAACAUGGCAAAUCGAACGUUUUUCAUAAUGAUUUAUGUUGUCGAGGAUAACGAUUUUCUUUAG
rnacentral:lncRNA from 1 species